rnacentral:lncRNA from 1 species
GAACUCCAAUCUCAACGCUUGAUAUAUAAAUAUAAAAAUGCAAAUCCAUAAUCACAGCUCCCAAAACCCGGUAGAAAUAAGUCACAAGCUUCUAAGAAUUUAUUCUGAGUGUCUCAAUACAUCAGAGUCAAAAGAGAAAUAAGGAAGACAACAUAAUAAGGAUAGAGGGGGACUCCGAGGUCUGCGGACGCUGGCAGAUGUACCUUGAAUUCUCUGUGUACAGCUAGUUCACUGAUACCUGGUCCGAUAGGAAGUACCUGGAUCUGCACAAAAAGAUGUGCAGAAGCGUAGCAUGAGUACACCACAGCGGUACCCAGUAAGUGCCAAACCUAACCUCGGUAGAGUACUGACGAGGUCAAGUCAGGGCCCUACUAGCUUAAGAGAAAAGUAAGGCAGAAGAUAUAAUAAUAUUUUUGAAAUGACUGAGGAUUUAAACAAUAAGAAGUUUCAGAAAAUAUCAGCACAAUAAAUAGAGGUAAACAACAGGGGCACUCUCGAGGUACCGCCUCUUAGUCCCAAAAGUAAAUCUACAGUACGGGGGAUCUCCCAAGGAACCGCCUCGUAAUUCCAAAAGAAAAUAUGUAGUAUAGGGGAAUCUCCCGAGGAACUGCCUCGUAAUCCCAAAAGUAAAUAUUCAGUACAGAAAAAUCUCCAUAGUAAACGCCUCGUAGUCCCAAAGUAAAUAUGCAGCAGAUAGCCGAAGGAACAAUGAAUUUACAGCAAGAAUCUUACAAUUAAAAAUUUAAUUCAAAUCAAGAAAAACAGGUAGUUCAACUAAGCAUGUUGCACAAUUUGCAAGUAAGAGUUAAGGCACAUAGGCAUGCGAUACUAGGCUAAACAUGAUCACUACAUAUGCUAAGGCAACUCAGUAAAGGAAUUUAAAAGAAGACAACUCAGCAAGAAUCGAAAUUUUCUACAAUUAGCUUGUGUACGCACUCGUCACCUCGCGUACACAGCGCUCACAUAUCACAAAUGGUUACAACAGUACCAAACCCUAAGGGGAUUUCCCCCACACAAGGUUAGACAAGUCACUUACUUCAAAUCUCGCUCAAUCAAUCGAUAAGGAUGCCUUUCCCUCGAUUUUUCAAUUCCAAUCGCCUCGAAUCUAGCCAAAACAACUGCGUACUAUAAAUACAACUAUAUAAAAUUAAUUCGAACAAUAAAAUUAUGAUCUUUACGAAAAAAUAAUAAGUCAAUCCGAGCCCGAAUCUUGGAACACGACCAAAAGUACAAAAAUUCAAAAACUCAUUCAACGACGAGUUCAACCAUACCAAUCAUCAAAAUAAACGUCCAAUAAAUAGACAUAGAAACCAUUUAAGAAAGAUAGAAUUAGGGAAAACUAAAAUAACAAAAAGCGAGAAAAGUGAAUCAAGCCAUCAGACAGAGCCAUUCAAAGAUUUCCAACUCUAUCCAUGUCAGAUUUCUAGGUUCACACUUAAAAUUGUUUUGUUUCUUUUUCUUUUAUUUAAUCCUACAACCCAAUUGUGUGUUGACUUGCCUCUCCAGUUUCAAAUUACUCCAGAUCAUUUUAAUACCCCAAACAAACCAAGCUUAAGCUCACAUUCUUAUGGAUACUAUACUAAAAUAUGCAAAUUAAUAAAGAAACUCAUUUUAACAAACAUGCCAAGCAUCCAACUUGAUGACAACAACUCUUUAGGAUACUGAGAUACUAAAUUCAUUAAUGCUAAGUUCCAGACUUUUAGAUUUUAAAGAAUAAAGAGAUUUCAACUCCAAUGGUAGUCUAAAACCAACUUCACAUCAACUUUAAUAGACUAGAAAAGUAAAAUAGUGAUAAAUUAACUUUGCGGCAAAUAUGAUGAAUUCAUUUUUACUUGAAGAUUGUAAAAGGCCGAUUGAGAACUUUUAACUCAUAUAAUCCAUGUUCAAAUCAUAAAUAAAUAAAAAAAUAAGUAAACACAUGGACGAUAUCUUUUUUUUAGUAGCUUUUUAAUAAUAAAGAAUCAUAUGAAUAUCCUCUCCCUAUUUGACUAAAAACCAAAUCAAAUGCAAAUUCAACACAAAAUAAGUUCACUCGAUCCUAAUAUAAAUUCAUAGAUAAGAGUAUAUGAGAUGCCGAAUACAGUGAACAAAACACUAAGAAAACUAAACAAAUCUCAACAAUUAUUGUAACCUUAAUCCAUCUUUUGAUGGCUCUUCUGAGACUAGAUUCACUUCAAAUAUGAUUAAAUGAAGAAGAGAAAAAGGAAUUGAACCUGCUAAGCCAAGACUAUCUUUAACACCAAUAGAAUAGUCACCAAAUAAAAGAUAUUGCCUCCAAAAUCCAAACGAAAGAGAAACGGCAACAAAGAUGAACACGAACCGCAAUCGGAACUCACGAACGGCAGCUAGAAAACUUCCGACUCCAACCUCGAACAAAACUUAUAACAUAUUCGACUCAAUCAAAUUCCAUAUUUUGGAAAUAAAUAUCGGAAUCAAAGGAAGAAGCAGAAGCGUAUUUUGUCAUAUUUUUAUUUUUUGAUUUUUUCUGAAAUCUAAAUGAAACUCGAAAAUCUAAAAAUGGAGACUAAAAGAAGAACCCGCUUUUCUCUCAACGCUAGAUUCUGUCCCAAUUUGUUUUUUCUUCUCUCUAAAAAAUCUGAAAGAGAUAAUAAUAAUAUAUAGGUCUCAAGAAG